UCCACUGUUGCGUUUUUCAUACGUACGUAUACGCACGUAAAACUCCGUUUAAAUGUUACUUAUGAAAUAACCAAAUAAACAAAGCAACAGAACUUAGUGUUCCGCAAGUUUUAGUAUGCAUUUGUUAACUUAUUUGUAAAAUAUUUAAAAAUAGAAGGAUUCAAAGUUUUACGUGCGUGUACGUGCGUACGAGAAACACAACAGUGGA
rnacentral:miRNA from 1 species